rnacentral:rRNA from 1 species
CUACGGGGGGCAGCAGUGGGGAAUAUUGCGCAAUGGGGGAAACCCUGACGCAGUGACGCCGUGUGAGUGAUGAAGGUUUUCGGAUCGUAAAGCUCUGUCAGACGGGAAGAAUAAGGGCAGUCAAAAUAUGAUUGUCUGAUGACGGUACCGUCAGAGGAAGCACCGGCUAACUCCGUGCCAGCAGCCGCGGUAAUACGGAGGGUGCAAACGUUGUUCGGAAUUACUGGGCGUAAAGCGCAUGUAGGCGGAUGUGUAGGUCAGAUGUGAAAGCCCUUGGCUCAACCAAGGAAGUGCAUCUGAACCACAUGUCUGGAGUAUGACAGAGGGAAGUGGAAUUCCCAGUGUAGAGGUGAAAUUCAUAGAUAUUGGGAAGAACACCGGUGGCGAAGGCGGCUUUCUGGGUCAUUACUGACGCUGAGAUGCGAAAGCGUGGGGAGCAAACAGGAUUAGAUACCCUAGUAGUC